CCUACGGGUGACAGCAGUGAGGAAUAUUGGUCAAUGGGCGCAAGCCUGAACCAGCCAAGUAGCGUGAAGGAUGACGGCCCUACGGGUUGUAAACUUCUUUUGUAAGGGAAUAAAGUGAGGCACGUGUACCUUUUUGUAUGUACUUUAUGAAUAAGGAUCGACUAACUCCGUGCCAGCAGCCGCGGUAAUACGGAGGAUCCGAGCGUUAUCCGGAUUUAUUGGGUUUAAAGGGAGCGUAGAUGGGUGGUUAAGUCAGUUGUGAAAGUUUGCGGCUCAACCGUAAAAGUGCAAUUGAAACUGGCAGUCUUGAGUACAGUUGAGGUAGGCGGAAUGAGUGGUGUAGCGGUGAAAUGCUUAGAUAUCACGAAGAACUCCGAUUGCGAAGGCAGCUUACUAAACUGCCACUGACAUUGAUGCUCGAAAGCGUGGGUAUCAAACAGGAUUAGAUACCCCAGUAGUC
rnacentral:rRNA from 1 species